rnacentral:rRNA from 1 species
CCUACGGGAGGCAGCAGUGGGGAAUAUUGGACAAUGGGGGGAACCCUGAUCCAGCCAUGCCGCGUGUGUGAAGAAGGCCCUCGGGUUGUAAAGCACUUUCAGUGAGGAAGAACGCCUGGUGGUUAAUACCCAUCAGGAAAGACAUCACUCUCAGAAGAAGCACCGGCUAACUCCAUGCCAGCAGCCGCGGUAAUACGGAGGGUGCGAGCGUUAAUCGGAAUUACUGGGCGUAAAGCGCGCGUAGGUGGCUUGAUAAGCCGGUUGUGAAAGCCCCGGGCUCAACCUGGGAACGGCAUCCGGAACUGUCAAGCUAGAGUGCAGGAGAGGAAGGUAGAAUUCCCGGUGUAGCGGUGAAAUGCGUAGAGUUCGGGAGGAAUACCAGUGGCGAAGGCGGCCUUCUGGACUGACACUGACACUGAGGUGCGAAAGCGUGGGUAGCAAACAGGAUUAGAUACCCUGGUAGUC